rnacentral:rRNA from 1 species
UGGGGAAUAUUGCACAAUGGGGGAAACCCUGAUGCAGCGACGCCGCGUGAAGGAAGAAGUAUCUCGGUAUGUAAACUUCUAUCAGCAGGGAAGAAAAUGACGGUACCUGACUAAGAAGCCCCGGCUAACUACGUGCCAGCAGCCGCGGUAAUACGUAGGGGGCAAGCGUUAUCCGGAUUUACUGGGUGUAAAGGGAGCGUAGACGGCUGAGCAAGUCAGAAGUGAAAGCCCGGGGCUCAACCCGUGGACUGCAUUGGAAACUGGUAUGCUUGAGUGCCGGAGGGGUAAGCGGAAUUCCUAGUGUAGCGGUGAAAUGCGUAGAUAUUAGGAGGAACACCAGUGGCGAAGGCGGCUUACUGGACGGUAACUGACGUUGAGGCUCGAAAGCGUGGGGAGCAAACAGGAUUAGAUACC